CUGCUGCCUCCCGUAGGAGUCUGGUCCGUGUCUCAGUACCAGUGUGGGGGACCUUCCUCUCAGAACCCCUACGCAUCGUCGGUUAGGUGGGCCGUUACCCCGCCUACAAGCUAAUCAGACGCGGGUCCAUCUUACACCACCGGAGUUUUUCACACAAAUCCAUGCGGCUUCGUGCGCUUAUGCGGUAUUAGCACCUAUUUCUAAGUGUUAUCCCCCAGUGUAAGGCAGGUUACCCACGCGUUACUCACCCGUCCGCCACUAAGAUUACA
rnacentral:rRNA from 1 species